rnacentral:rRNA from 1 species
UACGUAGGGUGCAAGCGUUGUCCGGAAUUAUUGGGCGUAAAGAGCUCGUAGUCGGUCUGUCGCGUCUGCUGUGAAAACUCGGGGCUUAACCCCGGGCCUGCAGUGGGUACGGGCAGACUAGAGUGCGGUAGGGGAGACUGGAAUUCCUGGUGUAGCGGUGAAAUGCGCAGAUAUCCGGAGGAACACCAGUGGCGAAGGCGACUUUCUGGCCUGUUCUUGACGCUGAGGCGCGAAAGCUAGGGGAGCAAACGGG